rnacentral:rRNA from 1 species
AGAUUGAACGCUGGCGGCAGGCCUAACACAUGCAAGUCGAGCGGCAGCACGGGUACUUGUACCUGGUGGCGAGCGGCGGACGAGGUGAGUAAUGCCUAGGAAUCUGCCUGAUAGGUGGGGGAUAACGUUCGGAAACGGACGCCAAUACCGCAUACGUCCUACGGGAGAAAGGUGGGGGAUCUUCGGACCUCACGCUAUCAGAUGAGCCUAGGUCGGAUUAGCUAGGUUGGUAAGGGUAAGGCCUACCAAGGCUACGAUCCGUAACUGGUCUGGAGAGGAUGAUCGAGUCACACUGGAACUGAGUACCACGGUCCAGACCUCCGUACGGGAGCAGCGAGGUGGGGAAUGUUAGGAACAAGUGGGGACGAAAGGCCCUAGACGUCCGA